CGAAGACACGGCCCGCGCGGGUGGGGCAGAAGCUGCGGAGACGGCGCAAGAACGCAGGCGAAGCCAGCCCCUUUCCUGCGGCGGGGCGGGCUUAGCCCAGAUGGCGCGGGAACCAGAGGAAGGGCGUGUGGCUGGGCUUUAUAGGGUCCUGAUUCAACAACUUCCCAGGCCGAUCCUUGUGUUCACACAAAGUCCUGCAACCUCCUCUGUGAAGUGCAAUGAUAGCGUUGCACCAGCUGACAGUGCUAUGCGGGGACUAGCACCAUGAAGCAGUCUUCAACCCCCUUUUACAAUGCCCUAACAGCACAGCAUGUCUCCCUGCAUCAAGUACUGAGGGAGUGGUACGUAUACCAGGCUCCUGCUCCCUUCCUCCUUCUGCAGUAGCUGAGCCUCUCCCAUCCCUAACAGACUGCUUCUCUUUCACCCCUGGGAAACCAAGGCACAGAAAAGGGACAUAACCCGGGGUUAAAGUAAAGAAUGGCACGGGGAGCAGAGCUUCUCCUCAUCCUCCGGGCUUGGGGAAUCUUCCCUCCUGCACCUCUCCUUAAGUGGUGUGGGGAGAAGAGUGGACUCACCCUAUCUUAAUCUAAUUCAAACUCCAGACAUGACGAGAUUUCCCAGUCAGUCACCAAUGUGACCCCUGUGCUCUCAUCUAAUUUAUGUCAACUCUUGUCUGCCAUUACCAUACAGGUACAUCACCAUCAGCUUAUCAAUUGGGUCCAAUAUUUAGAAGAUAGCUGUGGUGGUAGCAUGUUGAUUAUUAAUAUGUCUCUUGGGCGGUAAUCUACGUACAGCUUCAAUGAUGCAUAAGUAACACAAGCAUCAAUCUUUCCAUCUCCCUUUUUCAUCCUCAUGAGCUACAGACUCUUUGAUAUUCCUGCAUGGGUGUAACAAAUCAGACAUUUAUAGGAAUGGUGAAUGAACUUGAACACAACCACCUAAUUCUGCAUGAUUGAAGCUGGACCCUGAAGAACAUAGUUUAAUGAAAUAACCAGCCAACCACCUGAUCUUUUCAUUUCUGUUGGUAUUUUGAUGUUCAGAUUAUCAGAUAAGGUGGGUUUUUUUAAAAAUACUUAGCCAUAUGCUGAAAUCCACUGAUACAGUAACAUGUAUGGUUCAUGGCCUGGGUCUCUGCUCUGUGACACUUAGCCCUUACUCUUACAAUGUGCCCACGUAUCCAUCACAUGACUGGAGCCUUAAUUUAUACGCUACACUCUUAGAUGAAAUUCACAAGUACAAGUCAUAUGGGACUCAAAGCACCUGUCCAUGACAGCCUAAUCAAAGAUCACAAGUGAUGCAAAUCACUAAAGCAGGGGUGUUUUCAUGUCUAUAUAUAGAAAAGGGAGAUGACUAUAAAUUCAGGAUUUCUUUUAAAUAACUCAAUCUGCUAUGGAUCUACCACUGAUUUCAAUAAGUUGCAUAAAGAUUAUGUAAUACCAAAUAAAUAAAAAUUUAGUUGGUAUCUGUCAUAAAUAUAAAGGGAAGGGUAAACACCUUUAAAAUCCCUCCUGGCCAGAAGAAAAACCCUUUCACCUGUAAAGGGUUAAGAAGCUAAGAUAACCUCUCUGGCACCUGACCAAAAUGACCAAUGAGGAGAGAAGAUACUUUCAAAGCUGGGGUCGGGGGAAACAAAGGGUCUCUCUGUCUGGGUGAUACUUUUGCCAGGAACAGAAAAGGAAUGGAGUCUUAGAACUUAGUAAGUAAUCUAGCUAGAUAUGUGUUAGAUUCUGUUUUGUUUAAAUGGCUGAUAAAAUAAGCUGUGCUGAAUGGAAUGUAUAUUCCUGUUUUUGUGUCUUUUUGUAAUUUAAGGUUUUGCCUAGAGGGAUUCUCUAUGUUUUGAAUCUGAUUACCCUGUAAGGUAUUUACCAUCCUGAUUUUACAGAGGUGAUUCUUUUACUUUUUUUCUUCAAUUAAAAUUCUUCUUUUAAGAACCUGAUUGCUUUUUCAUUGUUCUUAAGAUCCAAGGAUUUGGGUCUGUGUUCACCUAUGCAAAUUGGUGAGGAUUUUUAUCAAGCUGUCCCCAGGAAAGGGGGUGUAGGAUUUGGGGAGGGUUUUGGGGGGAAAGACAUUUCCAAGCAGGCUCUUUCCCUGUUAUAUAUUUGUUAGAUGCUUGGUGGUGGCAGCAAUAAAGUCCAAGGGCAAAAGGUAAAAUAGUUUGUACCUUGGGGAAGUUUUAACCUAAGGUGGUAAAAAAUAAGGUUAGGGAGUUUUCCUGCAGGUCCCCACAUCUGUACCCUAGAGUUCAGAGUGGGGAAGGAACCUUGACAGUAUCUUACUACCAUGUUGAGUGUUACUGAGACCAUACGUUCUUCUUCUUUACACAACUGCUGCUACUUCCCUUUUCCCUAUUUGCUCUUUGCCUGUUCCCUCUGAAUUUUCUUUCUUGCAACAACUUCCAGUUCACACCCUUUCAAGUCUUCACUCCCAUCCCUUUUCCCCUUCGAUUUGUUAAUAGGGAUGUUGAUAUUACAGUGUCAUUAGUGGGCUAUGAGAUGACACUACAUUGAGAUAGGUAAAUUUACCUAUUCCCUGUCAAUUGGAGUCAUUGUUUCAGACUGUCUGCAAAUGCAAGUGGACAUAUAACGGAUUUACAACUGUUCACAUUUGGAAGGUUAUAUUUGCAGUCAGGGGUCCUAGAAAUUUACACUUCAAAAAAACAAAACAAAAACUUCAAUUCUGCAUAGCUUAAGUUUGUCAUGUAGGGUACAUAAGAUGGGCCAGAUGCAGCCCCUAGGCCAUAUAUUUCACACCUCUUCCUUGGCAUUUUGUGUAGAGGAGAAAAGCUAUUUUUACUUGCUCUUUUCCCUGUUAGCCCUCAAAAACUUUGGGGCGGGGGGGAAGUAAGGGUAAUCAUUGCCAAAGUUUUUAAAGUGACCACGAGGUAAGAAAAGGGGAGAAAAAUUAUACUGUUACUUAAAAAAAAAAAAAAACUUCAAAGUAUGCAAAAGAUUACAGAAUAUUUCCUCCUCAACUUCCAUUAAUAGAACAGGAAGUGAAAUAAAAAUUAGGAAGAAAAUAUACUUUAAAGAGGAUCUGAAGAUAAAGGCCAUUACUGCAGACAUCAUUAGUUACAGAUGAAUGAUAUUUCCAAAAUACCACUUUAUAUAUUUGCUUAGUAAUAUUUUUAUAACAUCCAUUUGAACACAGCAGAUUCCACAGGUUUUAAACUAUACUUCAUGCUAGACUAAUGUCAAUAUUACAUACUUUUUUGAUUAAAUUAACAAAAAAAAAUAUUUACUGCAUCAUACUGAAAUUAGAUUGUAAGCUUUUCAGGACAGAAAUCAUGUCUUCGUGUCUGUAACAGAACAUUUUUGAAUGCUAUAAAAUUAAUUACAUAUUUCUGUGAUAUUGUACUCCAUUAGGGCUGCUGCUUCUCCAGUUGUAGCACAACACCACUGUCAUACACCUGUGCUACUCCAAGACACUGACUCUUUCUAUACAGAGGAAAUUAUGUCCUGCUCUUCAAGGGCCAGAUUAGUAUAGGCAAUUUUGCAUGUUCAAGGACUCCCAGGACUGGGCCCAAAGAGUAGACUCAAAGGUGCACAAAUGUCACACAGAAGGUUAAUAUUAACUUUGAAUUUUCUGUUUAAGUAAAAUACUUAUACAUUAAAUCCUACUUUCUGCUUUAUUUUUUAAAAUGUCAGGAAACUAAUUAUGUAAGUCAGUGUACCUAAUUUAGAUUGUUUCAGACAAUUGGUUUAGUGCUAUUUAAUAUCAUCAAGUUGAACAAAAAUUAGACAAGCCACAUUACUGAAACAACUGUACAAAAAAACAUGAAAUUAGACUUGUACAGAGAAUAAACAUCUCUAAACAGAUUGUUCUAGUGAAGAUUUAUUCAAUUGCCAGGAAGACUAAACUUUUUAAUCUAAUUACAAAAUGGAGCAAUUAAAAGUACAAAUUUAGAUUCAACAUACAACUAGGCUGAUGUUUCCAAUAAACUCUGUUGUAAAGAUAAAAUAAUUAAGGAAAUUUACAUGAAACAGAUUUUUCAACAUUUUUUUCUAAUGCCCAUAUCCCAAACAAAGCAGAAACACCACAAUGCAUUCUACGGAGGGGUUGGGUUUUUUUGGUUUUGUUUUUAAGUCUUUUCUAAGUGAAUUUAGUACUUGUGAAAGGAGCCAAGUUUACAGCACUGGAAAUGGAGGUUUUCCAUGUAUUCACAGAACAAGAACCCUACAGCCAACAACCUAUGUUCCCUACAUUGCUUAGGCAGUAUAAUUCAACCUCUCUCUAGGUGGUCACCUUUGAAAUAAGUGGUUAUUCAAUCAUAAUGCCCAUUCAGUACCUGUCUUUGCUGCUGAGACUUACAACAAUACUACCAACAUGUGUGUAGCCUGUAGACAUUAGUUCAGUAGGAACUAGGCAGGACCCAAACAAAAAUAUUUGAGAAAACUGAGGUCAAAACAAAUAUAUGAGGAGCAUUUUAAUUUCAUCUACAAGCUGCCAAGUUUCUGAUGCAAGACAAGUAAGUUAAUAUAGCUACCUUCUGACUAUCUGAUUAAGUUUUUUUAGCAGUAGCAGCAAGUACACUUUCCAGUGUUUUUCUCUUGAUCACUGUAAUAGAGCCCCAGCUUUAUUUAUAUAGCAGAAACAAUACAUUUUGUAGCACAGGUGUAGGGUUUUUUUCCUAAUUGGAAUUUUCCAGUUGUUAUGGAUUCAUGUGAUUGCUAGAGGAGUCUGUCCUUCACACUAUCCCAAAAGCACCCACAUCAGCUACAUUUUUGUUCAUCAAUUCAAAGACCUUGCAAAUAAGCACAACAAUAUUCGAGAGAGGAGGAAAAAUAAUUGGCUUCCUUUAGAGUUAACAUCGCUCCCAGUUAGCAGCAAUUUCAGAAUUCUUCCUCUGCAUAUAAAGCAUGUGAUUUCUUCAGUUUCUUUAGUUUUUCAAUGGCAGACGUUACCAAAAUCUCUCCAUGAACCUUAUUGUCUCUUGUUCGCACAUUGACAGCAUUAUUCACUUUUUCCUUUUCUCCAACCACU